rnacentral:rRNA from 1 species
UACAGAGGGUGCGAACGUUGCUCGGAAUUACUGGGCGUAAAGCGCGUGUAGGCGGGGUCGCAAGUCAGAUGUGAAAUCCCUGGGCUCAACCCAGGAACUGCAUCUGAAACUGCGAUCCUUGAGUACUGGAGAGGGUGGCGGAAUUCCUGGUGUAGAGGUGAAAUUCGUAGAUAUCAGGAGGAACACCGGUGGCGAAGGCGGCCACCUGGACAGUAACUGACGCUGAGACGCGAAAGCGUGGGUAGCAAACAGG